UACGUAGGGUGCGAGCGUUGUCCGGAAUUACUGGGCGUAAAGGGCGCGUAGGCGGUCCGCUAAGUUGAAUGUGAAAACUCUGGGCUUAACCCAGAGCCUGCAUUCAAUACUGGCGGGCUAGAGUUCUGGAGGGGAUAGCGGAAUUCCUGGUGUAGCGGUGAAAUGCGUAGAUAUCAGGAGGAACACCGGUGGCGAAGGCGGCUAUCUGGACAGAGUCUGACGCUGAUGCGCGAAAGCUAGGGGAGCAAACAGG
rnacentral:rRNA from 1 species